CAAUCGGGUGGGAGCAUGCCUCAGAAAACUUGGGGCUCCCCCAUUGA
rfam:Hepacivirus hominis isolate 14DH42, complete genome